GGGGAUAUAGCUCAGUGGUAGAGCAUUCGAUUGCAAUUCGACAGGCCCCCGGUUCAAAUCCGGGUGUCCCCU